rnacentral:rRNA from 1 species
GACAGAGGGUGCAAACGUUGCUCGGAAUCACUGGGCGUAAAGCGUGCGCGGGCGGUUAUGCAAGACAGAUGUGAAAUCCCCGGGCUCAACCUGGGAACUGCAUUUGUGACUGCAUGGCUAGAGUACGGUAGAGGGGGAUGGAAUUCCGCGUGUAGCAGUGAAAUGCGUAGAUAUGCGGAGGAACACCGAUGGCGAAGGCAAUCCCCUGGACCUGUACUGACGCUCAUGCACGAAAGCGUGGGGAGCAAACAGG